rnacentral:lncRNA from 1 species
AGCCCUCACGGCCUUUUCAUUUCAUUACUCCAAUGCAGUACAUAUAUAUACACCAGGGGUAGGACACACCCACUAACCCGACCACCACGUUGGCCACUAACCAACUAACGCUACAUACUUCAUGCAGACCCAUGCACUAGCCAGCCACUACCCUCGGCAACUAAUCCCACUAGCCCAUGGACUUAUCUUUAUCCCUGGAAUCGCUCCAACGACUCAGCCAUACAACUAGCUACUCAUGCAUGCUAACAAACUCAUCCAUGAAGCUAGCUAACCACUUGCAUGCAUCUAACCAAUCCAUCCAGCCGGUGCCGCUUCGCCGUCCAUGCGCUUGCCGUACGCACGGCCGUGCCGCCUCGCGCAGCUUUGCAGCCUCUCGCUGUCAUCGGCAUCUCGCCGUGCUCGCCAUCUCACACGGCAGCUUGGCAUCACGCCUUUUUCGCACGCCUCCCCUGAACCCUUGCCGACCUACAACUUCUGAACCUACACUACAUGCCUAAAUGAAAUAAACAUGCUGAUACAAAUAUCAAGAUUAGUUCUAACAUUCACCCCCCUAAUCUUGAUAUCACAAUCGUCAUACGGAUCACCCGCAGCCACUUGUCGACGCCGUCGCAGCGCCGUACUUGCUAUGGACGACAUCAUCAAAAUGCCGAUCACCACCGCACACCAUCUUGUCGUAGACGACCCCAUCACAGCGUCCGUCACCACAUCGUCCUGCCGCACGCAGCAGCCACCUCUUGACGUGGACGGCGCCUUCGCAACGCCGAUCACCACGCCAUCAUAACCUCGCGGCAUCGCACCGAAACCGGCCAUCAGCGGUACCGCACCGCUGCCAGCCAUCACCUCGCACCGACGUCCUCCACCUCACAUGGAGUCCACCGCGUCACCGCCGUCGCAGCCGUUGCCUCCGCCCAGCACCACGGCGGCCACCAUAGCCGCCGGCACCGUCGUCGCCGCCACGGAUCAACAAGGCUCUGAUGCCAAUUGUUGGCGCCGCCUCUCGCAGCGCUGCUCUUCUUCUUCCUCUUGUUGCCUCACACAACUCUCUCUUGUUUCCUUGUUUCUCUCACGAACACAAAGACACACACCGGGGCAGAAAACACACACGCACACACACAUUCACCAGGGAGGAAAUUAGCUUUGCCUUAUCUCUCCCGGUGACAAUCACAUGCGCUACAUGGUUUCCUUCAGCCCUCACGGCCUUUUCAUUUCAUUACUCCAAUGCAGUACAUAUAUAUACACCAGGGGUAGGACACACCCACUAACCCGACCACCACGUUGGCCACUAACCAACUAACGCUACAUACUUCAUGCAGACCCAUGCACUAGCCAGCCACUACCCUCGGCAACUAAUCCCACUAGCCCAUGGACUUAUCUUUAUCCCUGGAAUCGCUCCAACGACUCAGCCAUACAACUAGCUACUCAUGCAUGCUAACAAACUCAUCCAUGAAGCUAGCUAACCACUUGCAUGCAUCUAACCAAUCCAUCCAGCCGGUGCCGCUUCGCCGUCCAUGCGCUUGCCGUACGCACGGCCGUGCCGCCUCGCGCAGCUUUGCAGCCUCUCGCUGUCAUCGGCAUCUCGCCGUGCUCGCCAUCUCACACGGCAGCUUGGCAUCACGCCUUUUUCGCACGCCUCCCCUGAACCCUUGCCGACCUACAACUUCUGAACCUACACUACAUGCCUAAACGAAAUAAACAUGCUGAUACAAAUAUCAAGAUUAGUUCUAAC